UGAGGAAUUUUCCGCAAUGGGCUAACGCCUGACGGAGCAAUGCCGCGUGGAGGAGGAAGGCCUGUGGGUCGUAAACUCCUUUUCUCAGAGAAGAAGUUCUGACGGUAUCUGAGGAAUAAGCAUCGGCUAACUCCGUGCCAGCAGCCGCGGUAAUACGGGGGAUGCAAGCGUUAUCCGGAAUUAUUGGGCGUAAAGCGUCCCGAGGUGGCUUACCUAGUCGACUGUGAAAGCUCAAGGCUUAACCUUGAAACUGCAGUCGAAACUUGUAAGCUUGAGUACGGUAGAGGCAGAGGGAAUUCCCGGAGGAGAGGUGAAAUUCGUAGAUAUCGGGAGGAAGGCCAAAGGCGAAAGCACUCUGCUGGGCCGAUUACUGACACUAACAGACGAAAGCUAGGGGAGCGAAAGGG
rnacentral:rRNA from 1 species